GUCUGUAGGAGCGCUUAGGAGAAUGGGAAGGAGAAGGUAGUCUUAAGGGUAUCCAGAUCCCAAGACAGCUAAGGCUUUAAAGGAGAUAAUUUGAAGCAUCACAGAACUAUUGUAAAAUCAGCUGAACCAAAGAGGACAAGUAGAACUCCACAAGUACAAGUCACAAGGGGAGCUCUGUGGUGCCACCUUCAAACCUGGGAAAAGAGCUAUCAUCUGCACAAAGCCUUCAACGCUGGAGGGAUGGGCAGGGGAUCUGGGCUGUAACCACAUGAAAUCAAGAUGAGUGUGUCAGAUGCCUUCCUGAGGGCUAUUUAUGUACCUCUGAUUGAUUCCCUGCAACCUGUAAUUAUUUUAGCUGCAUUUGUUUUCAUGCUGUGUGUACAGUUCACUCUCAGUCAGAUUAAUGCUUAUUUCUGGGCUGUUAAAGCCACUUUGGUUAUGGUGGGAAGGGAAGAGCCGCCCAGGCUCUUUGUGUGCCUCAACAGGCAGCAGAUGUGGAGACCCCAGGGAACAGCUUUUAGCAAGGGUAGAUUUUAUUGUGCUGAUUCUCACAAUCCUUCCUCCCCCAAAUCUCCUGCCUAUUAAUUCUCUCUUUCAAAUGAUACUCCUGCUUUUUGUUAAUGAUUUAGGAAUCACUUUCUUAUUUCCCAUAUUUUCUAAUCUGGAGAAUAGGAGCAUUGUGAAGAGGCUAUACUCCCAAAGCCCAUGGCAUUCUAGGAGUUAAAACUAGAAAAACUCCACAUAUCUGGGCGGCACCAGGUUAGAAGGGACUGCACUGAAGCACUGAAUUAUAGCCACUCUAGCCACAGGCUUAACAAGAAGUAUCCCUUUAGUGACAUCUCAUAACUUCAAGCAGCCAGCUCUGCUUAUUGCUUGCUGUAGACUUAUCAAUUCCUUUGUCAGAGUAAAUUGUCAGUCAUAGAAUAUA